rnacentral:lncRNA from 10 species
AGUGUGUACGACUCCACAGAGCAUUUGGAUUACACUCCUCCGAAUGCUGAAGGAAAAACGCUCAAAAUCUCAUUCUUCAGGGGGAAGCGUUGCCACUCCGAGGUGCCCACUGGGAACGAAUCCCAAAGCCACGAGCGCCUGCCUAGUGGGGAAUGUGAACUGUUAUCCUGAGAGUCGUCCUUCUCUCUCCCUGGUCCAGGACAGAAAAUACUGAAUAGACAGGAAUUUCUGAAGUCUAAACGCCUCCAAUGAUAACAGGAGUGUUAUUGGAAAGGGAACAAGCGAGAAGACACAGUCUUCGAGGAGUUAAGUUUUGCUAAUCUAAUGGUAAGAAAUGGUUUCUAAAUGUAGUUUUAAUUUGUAUUUGUUCUUUUGUAAAUAAAGUGGAACAUCCGUGCAUAUUUUCCGUU